rnacentral:rRNA from 1 species
UGCUGCCUACGGGGCGCAGCAGUGGGGAAUAUUGCACAAUGGGGGAAACCCUGAUGCAGCGACGCCGCGUGAAGGAAGAAGUAUUUCGGUAUGUAAACUUCUAUCAGCAGGGAAGAAAAUGACGGUACCUGACUAAGAAGCCCCGGCUAACUACGUGCCAGCAGCCGCGGUAAUACGUAGGGGGCAAGCGUUAUCCGGAUUUACUGGGUGUAAAGGGAGCGUAGGCGGCUGUGUAAGCCAGAAGUGAAAGCCCGAGGCUCAACCACGGGACUGCUUUUGGAACUACAUGGCUUGAUUGCAGGAGA